UACGGGGGGGGCAAGCGUUGUUCGGAAUUACUGGGCGUAAAGGGCUCGUAGGCGGCCAACUAAGUCAGACGUGAAAUCCCUCGGCUUAACCGGGGAACUGCGUCUGAUACUGGAUGGCUCGAGUUUGGGAGAGGGUAGUGGAAUUCCCGGUGUAGUGGUGAAAUGCGUAGAUAUCGGGAGGAACACCAGUGGCGAAGGCGACUACCUGGCCUGUUCUUGACGCUGAGGCGCGAAAGCUAGGGGAGCAAACGGG
rnacentral:rRNA from 1 species